GUGUGAGAGAGUGAGAGGAUCCACACAGCUGCAGUGUGACCUCCCACUCCCACGCUGGGUGUGUGUUAGAUGAGCAGAGCUCUGCGUGGAAAGAAAGACAUUGAACCUCACUUUGAUUUGGAUCGGACUUUCUGGUGGAAUGAGGCUUCGGACAUGAGACUGGAGGAAGGAUGACUGGAUGAAGGAUGACUGGAUGAGAGAUGACUGGAUGAGGGAUGACUGCUGACAAACUUUCCACUGCACGCCACAGUUGUUCCAGCGCGACAUUCCCACGCCGUCCAAGUGCUGCCUAGUGUCCCGCGGAGAGGAUCUCAGCAAGGCUUUUGUGCGUGGACUUGAGGACACGUCGUCAUGCAUCGUGGACUCCGCGUCCUGCUGGCCGCGCUGCUGCUCCUCCACGCCGCCGCCAUGGCCGCGGUGGGCGGGCGUGUGAGGAAGAAGACUCCCCGGGCCCGCUCGUGUCUGGACCUUCCCGAGGAGAUCCUGGAGCAGAUGUUCGGUCGCCUCUCGGUCGGCGUGCUGAGCGCCUUCCACCACGCCCUGCAGCUGGAGCCCCGGGACCACGUCCACCUCAGCUGCCCCGGCACCAAGCGCUCCUCGUCGGCCGACAGCCAGAGCCGCCUCCCGGUCAACCUGCUCAGCGUCUCGCCCUGGGCGUACAGGAUCUCUUACGACCCCACCAGGUUCCCGCGCCACAUGCCGGAGGCCUACUGCCUGUGUCAGGGCUGUCUGACCGGACCUCAUCGCCAGGAGAGCGACCAGUACCGCAGCACGCCCGUCUACGCUCCCUCCGUCAUCCUCAGGAGGUCCGGUUCUUGUGUCGGGGGCCGCCACUCCUACUCUGAGGUCUACGUCUCCGUCGCCGUGGGGUGCACCUGUGUGCCCCUGCUGGACAAAGACCGGCUCGUGCAGAACGGCAACCAGAGUCUGGAGUCUUGGAGAACAGAGUCCAAAGCGGUCCGCUCCUUUCCGGCAGCGGGAAGCAAACGAGUGGACGGAAGAUAAGUCCGUUUUGAUGACCUCGUCCCAAUAAGACAGACUCAAAUCAGAUCACAUGUCGCGUUAAACGCAAACUUAUACCACAUCCAAAAGUUGUAUCCGUCGUUCAGACUUUAAGAAGAUUAUGUUCAUCUUUCAUUGAUGUUUGUGGUGCUCUGGAAACUGUGCUGUCUAAUCAUUUGGUUGGCUGCAUGAGAGGUUAGCUACAUGAGAGGUUAGCUGUAUGAGAGGUUAGCUACAUGAGAGGUUAGCUGUAUGAGAGGUAAGCUACAUUUGGUUGGCUGCAUGAGAGG